GACGAACGCUGGCGGCGUGCUUAACACAUGCAAGUCGAACGGAAAGGCCCUGCUUUUGUGGGGUGCUCGAGUGGCGAACGGGUGAGUAACACGUGAGUAACCUGCCCUUGACUUUGGGAUAACUUCAGGAAACUGGGGCUAAUACCGGAUAGGAGCUCCUGCUGCAUGGUGGGGGUUGGAAAGUUUCGGCGGUUGGGGAUGGACUCGCGGCUUAUCAGCUUGUUGGUGGGGUAGUGGCUUACCAAGGCUUUGACGGGUAGCCGGCCUGAGAGGGUGGCCGGCGACAUGGGGACUGAGAGACGGCCCAGACUGCUACGGGAGGCAGCAGUGGGGAAUAUGGCACAAUGGGCGGAAGCCUGAUGCAGCAACGCCGCGUGCGGGAUGACGGCCUUCGGGUUGUAAACCGCUUUCGCCUGUGACGAAGCGUGAGUGACGGUAAUGGGUAAAGAAGCAACGGCUAACUACGUG
rnacentral:rRNA from 1 species